rnacentral:RNase_P_RNA from 3 species
GUUUUCAUUCCGACAACUACUCCGACGUAAAGUCGGAGAGGAAAGUCCGAACACAUGCUCAUUUAAUUGAGGAAGGUAGCGGGUAACGCCCGUCGUCCGCGAGGAUAGAGGUGCGAACAGUGACGCCAAAGCCGAAAGGCUGAGGGUCCCUUAUUUAUGAAAAUAUAUAAGGGAUAAUCUGAUAGAAAUAUCAGGGUGCAACGGUUAAAUCCUUACUUAUGUGCAAGGCCGUACUCUAGCAGAAAUGUUAGUUUGUGCCGCUUGAGUCUUUGAGCAAUUUAAGACCUAGAUAAAUUGUUGUUUAAACCAGAAUUCGGCUUAUGAGAAUGAAAAUCUAA